rnacentral:rRNA from 1 species
UACGGGGGGGGCAAGCGUUGUUCGGAAUUACUGGGCGUAAAGGGCUCGUAGGCGGCCAACUAAGUCGGACGUGAAAUCCCUCGGCUUAACCGGGGAAUUGCGUCCGAUACUGGAUGGCUUGAGUUCGGGAGAGGGAUGCGGAAUUCCAGGUGUAGCGGUGAAAUGCGUAGAUAUCUGGAGGAACACCGGUGGCGAAGGCGGCAUCCUGGACCGACACUGACGCUGAGGAGCGAAAGCCAGGGGAGCAAACGGG